rnacentral:rRNA from 1 species
CACGUAGGGGGCGAGCGUUGUCCGGAUUCAUUGGGCGUAAAGCGCGCGCAGGCGGCUUGGAAAGUCGGGUGUGAAAACUCGGGGCUCAACCCCGGGCGUGCAUCCGAUACUGCCAGGCUUGAGGCAGGUAGGGGAGAUCGGAAUUCCUGGUGUAGCGGUGAAAUGCGCAGAUAUCAGGAGGAACACCGGUGGCGAAGGCGGAUCUCUGGGCCUGUCCUGACGCUGAGGCGCGAAAGCUAGGGGAGCAAACAGG